AUUGAACGCUGGCGGCAGGCCUAACACAUGCAAGUCGAGCGGAUGAAGGGAGCUUGCUCCUGGAUUCAGCGGCGGACGGGUGAGUAAUGCCUAGGAAUCUGCCUGGUAGUGGGGGAUAACGUCCGGAAACGGGCGCUAAUACCGCAUACGUCCUGAGGGAGAAAGUGGGGGAUCUUCGGACCUCACGCUAUCAGAUGAGCCUAGGUCGGAUUAGCUAGUUGGUGGGGUAAAGGCCUACCAAGGCGACGAUCCGUAAUUGGUCUGAGAGGAUGAUCAGUCACACUGGAACUGAGACACGGUCCAGACUCCUACGGGAGGCAGCAGUGGGGAAUAUUGGACAAUGGGCGAAAGCCUGAUCCAGCCAUGCCGCGUGUGUGAAGAAGGUCUUCGGAUUGUAAAGCACUUUAAGUUGGGAGGAAGGGCAGUAAGUUAAUACCUUGCUGUCUUGACGUUACCAACAGAAUAAGCACCGGCUAACUUCGUG
rnacentral:rRNA from 1 species